rnacentral:misc_RNA from 1 species
UGAUUUUUAGUUAUUUGUGAACGUACUACGAACAAACAAAAAAUAUUAUAGUCAAAAAAAAUUAAAUCAAAACUUUUAACAAUGGAUCUCUUGGUUCUCGUAUCGAUGAAGAACGCAGCGAAACGCGAUAUUUCUUGUGAAUUGCAGAAGUGAAUCAUCAGUUUUUGAACGCACAUUGCACUUUGGGGUAUCCCCCAAAGUAUACUUGUUUGAGCGUUGUUUCUCUCUUGGAAUUGCAUUUGCUUUUCUAAAAAAUCGAAUCAAAUUCGUUUGAAACUUCAUUUAUUUCAACCUCAGAUCAAGUAGGAUUACCCGCUGAACUUAAGCAUAUCAAUAAGCGGAAUCGUACGCUUGGUCAUUUAGAGGAAGUAAAAGUCGUAACAAGGCUUCCGUAGGUGAACCUGCGGAAGGAUCAUUCAUAAUAAGUGUUUUAUGGCACUUUUUAAAUCCAUAUCCACCUUGUGUGCAGUGUCAGUCGGUUUUCUUUUUCGUCAAGAAAAAAAGGAUCGACCAAACAUCAACUUAUUCUAAUUGAACUUUUGUCUGAAAACUAUUAUGAAUAAACUAAUUCAAAAUA